CAGUCGCCGCGGUAAUACGAAGGGUGCAAGCGUUACUCGGAAUUACUGGGCGUAAAGCGUGCGUAGGUGGUGGUUUAAGUUCGUUGUGAAAGCCCUGGGCUCAACCUGGGAAUUGCAGUGGCUACUGGGUCACUAGAGUGUGGUAGAGGAUAGUGGAAUUUCCGGUGUAGCAGUGAAAUGCGUAGAGAUCGGAAGGAACAUCUGUGGCGAAGGCGACUAUCUGGGCCAACACUGACACUGAGGCACGAAAGCGUGGGGAGCAAACAGGAUUAGAUACCCCGGUAGUCCCUGUCUCUUAUAC
rnacentral:rRNA from 1 species